GGCGUGUCUCGAGCCUCGCUGCUGCGGCGCGUCAUCUAUUGUUUCGACCCGAGUCGGUCACUCAUCCAAAAUGUUCCACAGGCAAACACUCUACUCACUACAAGCAACUGAGUGAUGGGCCAGUGCUGGCCCACACUUACCACUUCAUUUGGCCCACAUACCGGAAUGAUGCCACAGAACAUAGCCGCAACUCAACAUUGAUUAGUCACAGGCUACUAACCGUCAGCUGUUUUCGGUACACUGGGUCGAAUGGAAGUCCUCCAUGGUCUCCAACCUCUCAACACGGG